UUCAGCGGCGGACGGGUGAGUAAUGCCUAGGAAUCUGCCUGGUAGUGGGGGACAACGUUUCGAAAGGAACGCUAAUACCGCAUACGUCCUACGGGAGAAAGCAGGGGACCUUCGGGCCUUGCGCUAUCAGAUGAGCCUAGGUCGGAUUAGCUUGUUGGUGAGGUAAUGGCUCACCAAGGCGACGAUCCGUAACUGGUCUGAGAGGAUGAUCAGUCACACUGGAACUGAGACACGGUCCAGACUCCUACGGGAGGCAGCAGUGGGGAAUAUUGGACAAUGGGCGAAAGCCUGAUCCAGCCAUGCCGCGUGUGUGAAGAAGGUCUUCGGAUUGUAAAGCACUUUAAGUUGGGAGGAAGGGUUGUAGAUUAAUACUCUGCAAUUUUGACGUUACCGACAGAAUAAGCACCGGCUAACUCUGUGCCAGCAGCCGCGGUAAUACAGAGGGUGCAAGCGUUAAUCGGAAUUACUGGGCGUAAAGCGCGCGUAGGUGGUUUGUUAAGUUGGAUGUGAAAGCCCCGGGCUCAACCUGGGAACUGCAUCCAAAACUGGCAAGCUAGAGUACGGUAG
rnacentral:rRNA from 1 species